ACAAUAGGCUAUUAACAAGUAGUGUAUGACAUGACUGACAAGUUUUUAGCUGACACCACAGAAUCCACUGGCCAAACGCAUGGACCAUGAUAGCAAUACUUGCUACAGGA
rnacentral:snoRNA from 1 species